GACGAACGCUGGCGGCGUGCUUAACACAUGCAAGUCGAACGGAAAGGCCCUGCUUUUGUGGGGUGCUCGAGGGGCGAACGGGUGCGUAACACGUGAGUAACCUGCCCUUGACUUUGGGAUAACUUCAGGAAACUGGGGUUAAUACCGGAUAGGAGCUCCUGCAGCAUGGUGGGGGUUGGAAAGUUUCGGCGGUUGGGGAUGGACUCGCGGCUUAUCAGCUUGUUGGUGGGGUAGUGGCUUACCAAGUCUGUGACGGGUAGCCGGCCUGAGAGGGUGACCGGCCACAUUGGGACUGAGAUACGGCCCAGACUCCUACGGGAGGCAGCAGUGGGGAAUAUUGCACAAUGGGCGGAAGCCUGAUGCAGCAACGCCGCGUGCGGGAUGACGGCCUUCGGGCUGUAAACCGCUUUCGCCUGUGACGAAGCGUGAGUGACGGUAAUGGGUAAAGAAGCACCGGCUAACUACGUG
rnacentral:rRNA from 1 species